UUAAGCGACUAAGCGUACACGGUGGAUGCCCUGGCAGUCAGAGGCGAUGAAGGACGUGCUAAUCUGCGAUAAGCGUCGGUAAGGUGAUAUGAACCGUUAUAACCGGCGAUUUCCGAAUGGGGAAACCCAGUGUGUUUCGACACACUAUCAUUAACUGAAUCCAUAGGUUAAUGAGGCGAACCGGGGGAACUGAAACAUCUAAGUACCCCGAGGAAAAGAAAUCAACCGAAAUUCCCCCAGUAGCGGCGAGCGAACGGGGAGCAGCCCAGAGCCUGAAUCAGUAUGUGUGUUAGUGGAAGCGUCUGGAAAGGCGCGCGAUACAGGGUGACAGCCCCGUACACAAAAAUGCACAUAUUGUGAGCUCGAUGAGUAGGGCGGGACACGUGGUAUCCUGUCUGAAUAUGGGGGGACCAUCCUCCAAGGCUAAAUACUCCUGACUGACCGAUAGUGAACCAGUACCGUGAGGGAAAGGCGAAAAGAACCCCGGCGAGGGGAGUGAAAAAGAACCUGAAACCGUGUACGUACAAGCAGUGGGAGCACGCUUAGGCGUGUGACUGCGUACCUUUUGUAUAAUGGGUCAGCGACUUAUAUUCUGUAGCAAGGUUAACCGAAUAGGGGAGCCGAAGGGAAACCGAGUCUUAACUGGGCGUUAAGUUGCAGGGUAUAGACCCGAAACCCGGUGAUCUAGCCAUGGGCAGGUUGAAGGUUGGGUAACACUAACUGGAGGACCGAACCGACUAAUGUUGAAAAAUUAGCGGAUGACUUGUGGCUGGGGGUGAAAGGCCAAUCAAACCGGGAGAUAGCUGGUUCUCCCCGAAAGCUAUUUAGGUAGCGCCUCGUGAAUUCAUCUCCGGGGGUAGAGCACUGUUUCGGCAAGGGGGUCAUCCCGACUUACCAACCCGAUGCAAACUGCGAAUACCGGAGAAUGUUAUCACGGGAGACACACGGCGGGUGCUAACGUCCGUCGUGAAGAGGGAAACAACCCAGACCGCCAGCUAAGGUCCCAAAGUCAUGGUUAAGUGGGAAACGAUGUGGGAAGGCCCAGACAGCCAGGAUGUUGGCUUAGAAGCAGCCAUCAUUUAAAGAAAGCGUAAUAGCUCACUGGUCGAGUCGGCCUGCGCGGAAGAUGUAACGGGGCUAAACCAUGCACCGAAGCUGCGGCAGCGACACUAUGUGUUGUUGGGUAGGGGAGCGUUCUGUAAGCCUGUGAAGGUGUGCUGUGAGGCAUGCUGGAGGUAUCAGAAGUGCGAAUGCUGACAUAAGUAACGAUAAAGCGGGUGAAAAGCCCGCUCGCCGGAAGACCAAGGGUUCCUGUCCAACGUUAAUCGGGGCAGGGUGAGUCGACCCCUAAGGCGAGGCCGAAAGGCGUAGUCGAUGGGAAACAGGUUAAUAUUCCUGUACUUGGUGUUACUGCGAAGGGGGGACGGAGAAGGCUAUGUUGGCCGGGCGACGGUUGUCCCGGUUUAAGCGUGUAGGCUGGUUUUCCAGGCAAAUCCGGAAAAUCAAGGCUGAGGCGUGAUGACGAGGCACUACGGUGCUGAAGCAACAAAUGCCCUGCUUCCAGGAAAAGCCUCUAAGCAUCAGGUAACAUCAAAUCGUACCCCAAACCGACACAGGUGGUCAGGUAGAGAAUACCAAGGCGCUUGAGAGAACUCGGGUGAAGGAACUAGGCAAAAUGGUGCCGUAACUUCGGGAGAAGGCACGCUGAUAUGUAGGUGAAGUCCCUUGCGGAUGGAGCUGAAAUCAGUCGAAGAUACCAGCUGGCUGCAACUGUUUAUUAAAAACACAGCACUGUGCAAACACGAAAGUGGACGUAUACGGUGUGACGCCUGCCCGGUGCCGGAAGGUUAAUUGAUGGGGUCAGCGCAAGCGAAGCUCUUGAUCGAAGCCCCGGUAAACGGCGGCCGUAACUAUAACGGUCCUAAGGUAGCGAAAUUCCUUGUCGGGUAAGUUCCGACCUGCACGAAUGGCGUAAUGAUGGCCAGGCUGUCUCCACCCGAGACUCAGUGAAAUUGAACUCGCUGUGAAGAUGCAGUGUACCCGCGGCAAGACGGAAAGACCCCGUGAACCUUUACUAUAGCUUGACACUGAACAUUGAGCCUUGAUGUGUAGGAUAGGUGGGAGGCUUGGAAGUGUGGACGCCAGUCUGCAUGGAGCCGACCUUGAAAUACCACCCUUUAAUGUUUGAUGUUCUAACGUUGACCCGUAAUCCGGGUUGCGGACAGUGUCUGGUGGGUAGUUUGACUGGGGCGGUCUCCUCCUAAAGAGUAACGGAGGAGCACGAAGGUUGGCUAAUCCUGGUCGGACAUCAGGAGGUUAGUGCAAUGGCAUAAGCCAGCUUGACUGCGAGCGUGACGGCGCGAGCAGGUGCGAAAGCAGGUCAUAGUGAUCCGGUGGUUCUGAAUGGAAGGGCCAUCGCUCAACGGAUAAAAGGUACUCCGGGGAUAACAGGCUGAUACCGCCCAAGAGUUCAUAUCGACGGCGGUGUUUGGCACCUCGAUGUCGGCUCAUCACAUCCUGGGGCUGAAGUAGGUCCCAAGGGUAUGGCUGUUCGCCAUUUAAAGUGGUACGCGAGCUGGGUUUAGAACGUCGUGAGACAGUUCGGUCCCUAUCUGCCGUGGGCGCUGGAGAACUGAGGGGGGCUGCUCCUAGUACGAGAGGACCGGAGUGGACGCAUCACUGGUGUUCGGGUUGUCAUGCCAAUGGCACUGCCCGGUAGCUAAAUGCGGAAGAGAUAAGUGCUGAAAGCAUCUAAGCACGAAACUUGCCCCGAGAUGAGUUCUCCCUGACCCUUUAAGGGUCCUGAAGGAACGUUGAAGACGACGACGUUGAUAGGCCGGGUGUGUAAGCGCAGCGAUGCGUUGAGCUAACCGGUACUAAUGAACCGUGAGGCUUAACCUU
rnacentral:rRNA from 1 species